rnacentral:rRNA from 1 species
AAACCAGCACCUCAAGUGGUCAGGAGGAUUAUUGGGCCUAAAGCAUCCGUAGCCUGUUCUGUAAGUUUUCGGUUAAAUCCAUUAGCUCAACUAAUGGGCCGCCGAAAAUACUGUAGAACUAGGGAGUGGGAGAGGUAGACGGUAUUCGGUAGGAAGGGGUAAAAUCCUUUGAUCUAUUGAGGACCACCUGUGGCGAAGGCGGUCUACCAGAACACGUUCGACGGUGAGGGAUGAAAGCUGGCGGAGCAAACCGGAUUAGAAACCCCGGUAGUCC